rnacentral:rRNA from 1 species
CCUACGGGAGACUGCAGUGAGGAAUAUUGGUCAAUGGGCGGAAGCCUGAACCAGCCAAGUAGCGUGCAGGAUGACGGCCCUACGGGUUGUAAACUUCUUUUAUACGGGAAUAACGCGCCUUACGUGUAGGGCUUUGCAUGUACCGUAUGAAUAAGGACCGGCUAAUUCCGUGCCAGCAGCCGCGGUAAUACGGAAGGUCCGGGCGUUAUCCGGAUUUAUUGGGUUUAAAGGGAGCGUAGGCCGCAUGUCAAGCGUGCUGUGAAAUGUCCGGGCUCAACCCGGGCCUUGCAGCGCGAACUGGCGGGCUUGAGUCCGCGAGAGGCAGGCGGAAUGCGUGGUGUAGCGGUGAAAUGCUUAGAUAUGGCGAAGAACCCCGAUUGCGAAGGCAGCUUGCUGGAGCGGAACUGACGCUGAUGCUCGAAAGCGCGGGUAUCGAACAGGAUUAGAUACCCCUGUAGUC